GACGAACGCUGGCGGCGCGCUUAACACAUGCAAGUCGAACGGAAAGGCCUGCUUUCCCUUGUGGAUUGCGGGUACUCGAGUGGCGAACGGGUGAGUAACACGUGAGUGAUCUGCCCCCAACUUGGGUAUAAGCCUGGGAAACUGGGUCUAAUUCCCGAUAGGACUGCAGGGUGGUGCCUGUGGUGGAAAACGAUUUUCUAGUGGUUGGGGAUGAGCUCGCGGCCUAUCAGCUUGUUGGUGGGGUAAUGGCCUACCAAGGCGGCGACGGGUAGCCGGCCUGGGAGGGUGGACGGCCACAUUGGGACUGAGAUACGGCCCAGACUCCUACGGGAGGCAGCAGUGGGGAAUAUUGCACAAUGGGCGGAAGCCUGAUGCAGCGACGCCGCGGGGGGGAUGACGGCCUUCGGGUUGUAAACUCCUUUCGACCGCGAGGAAGCCACCUGGUUGGAAGGGUGGUGACGGUAGUGGUAGAAGAAGCACCGGCUAACUACGUG
rnacentral:rRNA from 1 species